AUGGAUGAGAGCAGUGGUGACCCUAUGACAAGAAAUAAUGUAUGUGGGCUCAGGAGUCCCACACACCAAGCUGAGCUGGAGCUACCUCCUUCCCCACUGGAGGACAUGAGGAUUGUUGUGCCUUUUGGUGCCAAGAAGCCUGCAAGUACCAAGUGGAAAUCCCUGGCCUCAUCCCUCCUUCACAGCUCCUCAGAAAGGCAUCACACCGGAAUGCUCCCUCACUGUCGCUGACCAUGUGAUGUUCUUGGCCAUGGGGAUGUCAGCGCACAUGACAAGCAGUCGGGGCUGCCCUUGCCCUGGCCCUGUGCUGUGGCAAUGAGAACCCGGAGGAGCCAGAGGAGUGACCGUCACUGUUCAUCGAGGCCAUCCUGGGCCAGCCAGCACCCAGCUGACCCCGGACACAUGGGUAAGCACAGCCCAGGCCAGAACUCUCUAGACUGACGUGGGGCAUGUGAGCGUUCCCACCACAGAGCAGCCCAAAUGAGCCCAGAUCGGCUGAACCUCAUGGAACCCCGAGCUCAAUAAAUAUUAAUUUGUGUAUGACAUCCAGUU
rnacentral:lncRNA from 12 species